rnacentral:rRNA from 1 species
CGUGUAGGCGGCUGGGUAAGUCAGAUGUGAAAGCCCUGGGCUUAACCCAGGAAGUGCAUUUGAAACUGCUAGGCUAGAGUAGGGGAGAGGGAAGUGGAAUUCCUGGUGUAGAGGUGAAAUUCGUAGAUAUCAGGAGGAACACCGGUGGCGAAGGCGACUUCCUGGCCCUAUACUGACGCUGAGACGCGAGAGCGUGGGUAGCAAACAGGAUUAGAUACCCUGGUAGUCC